GACGAACGCUGGCGGCGUGCCUAAUACAUGCAAGUUGAGCGCUGAAGGUUGGUACUUGUACCAACUGGAUGAGCAGCGAACGGGUGAGUAACGCGUGGGGAAUCUGCCUUUGAGCGGGGGACAACAUUUGGAAACGAAUGCUAAUACCGCAUAAAAACUUUAAACACAAGUUUUAAGUUUGAAAGAUGCAAUUGCAUCACUCAAAGAUGAUCCCGCGUUGUAUUAGCUAGUUGGUGAGGUAAAGGCUCACCAAGGCGAGGAUACAUAGCCGACCUGAGGGGGUGAUCGGCCACAUUGGGACGGAGACACGGCGCAAACUCCUACAGGAGGCAGCAGUAGGGAAUCUUCGGCAAUGGGCGAAAGUCUGACCGAGCAACGCCGCGUGAGUGGAGAAGGGUUUCGGAUCGUAAAACUCUGUUGGUAGAGAAGAAAGUUAGUGAGAAUGGAAAGCUCAUCAAGUGACGGUAACUACCCAGAAAGGGACGGCUAACUACGUG
rnacentral:rRNA from 1 species